rnacentral:rRNA from 1 species
AACGAACGCUGGCGGCAUGCCUAACACAUGCAAGUCGAACGAGACCUUCGGGUCUAGUGGCGCACGGGUGCGUAACGCGUGGGAACCUGCCCUUAGGUUCGGAAUAACUCCCCGAAAGGGGUGCUAAUACCGGAUAAUGUCUUCGGACCAAAGAUUUAUCGCCUUUGGAUGGGCCCGCGUUGGAUUAGCUAGUCGGUAGGGUAAAAGCCUACCAAGGCGACGAUCCAUAGCUGGUCUGAGAGGAUGAUCAGCCACACUGGGACUGAGACACGGCCCAGACUCCUACGGGAGGGAGCAGUGGGGAAUAUUGGACAAUGGGCGAAAGCCUGAUCCAGCAAUGCCGCGUGAGUGAUGAAGGCCUUAGGGUUGUAAAGCUCUUUUACCCGGGAUGAUAAUGACAGUACCGGGAGAAUAAGCUCCGGCUAACUCCGU